rnacentral:rRNA from 1 species
UAGCUAGUUGGUGGGGUAAGGGCCUACCAAGGCGACGAUCGGUAGCUGGUCUGAGAGGAUGGCCAGCCACACUGGAACUGAGACACGGUCCAGACUCCUACGGGAGGCAGCAGUGGGGAAUACUGGACAAUGGGGGCAACCCUGAUCCAGCAAUGCCGCGUGUGUGAAGAAGGCCUGAGGGUUGUAAAGCACUUUCAGUGGGGAGGAGUGUUGAUAGGUUAAGAGCUAAUUAACUGGACGUUACCCACAGAAGAAGCACCGGCUAACUCCGUGCCAGCAGCCGCGGUAAUACGGAGGGUGCGAGCGUUAAUCGGAAUUACUGGGCGUAAAGGGUGCGUAGGUGGUUGUAUAAGUUAUCUGUGAAAUCCCUGGGCUUAACCUGGGCAGGUCAGAUAAUACUGUAUGACUCGAGUAUGGGAGAGGGUAGUGGAAUUUCCGGUGUAGCGGUGAAAUGCGUAGAGAUCGGAAGGAACACCAGUGGCGAAGGCGGCUACCUGGCCUAAUACUGACACUGAGGCACGAAAGCGUGGGGAGCAAACAGGAUUAGAUACCCUGGUAGUCCACGCUGUAAACGAUGUCAACUAGCUGUUGGUUAUAUGAAUAUAAUUAGUGGCGC